rnacentral:rRNA from 1 species
AUCGAUGAAGAACGCAGCGAAAUGCGAUAAGUAAUGUGAAUUGCAGAAUUCCGCGAAUCAUCGAAUCUUUGAACGCACAUUGCGCCCUUUGGUAUUCCGAAGGGCAUGCCUGUUCGAGCGUCAUUUGCACCCUCAAGCUCUGCUUGGUAUUGGAGGCCGCCCCGCUGGGGUGCCCCCGAAACGCAGCGGCGACGUAGCCGGACUCCCUGGCGUAGUGACAUUUAGCUGUCGCCCCGGAGUGGUCGGUCGUGCGUUAGCCGGACAACGCCCCCUAUUUUUGAAAUCGACCUCGGAUCAGGUAGGACUACCCGCUGAACUUAAGCAUAUCAAUAAGCGGAGGAAAAGAAACCAACCGGGAUUGCCCUAGUAACGGCGAGUGAAGCGGCAACAGCUCAAAUUUGAAAUCUGGCCUCUGGCCCGAAUUGUAAUUGGCAGAGGAUGCAUCGGGGGCGGCCCUGUUCCAAGUCCACUGGAACGUGGCGUCCUAGAGGGUGAGAAUCCCGUACGCGAGCGGUGUCCGCUCCCAUGUGAUGCUCCUUCGACGAGUCGAGUUGUUUGGGAAUGCAGCUCUAAAUGGGUGGUAUAUUUCAUCUAAAGCUAAAUACCGGCCAGAGACCGAUAGCGAACAAGUAGAGUGAUCGAAAGAUGAAAAGCACUUUGGAAAGAGAGUUAAACAGUACGUGAAAUUGUUGAAAGGGAAGCGCUUGCAGCCAGACUCGCCCGGGGUGCUCAGCCGUCCUUCGGGGCGGUGCACUCGCCCCCGGGCGGGCCAGCAUCGGUUCGGGCGGCCGGAUAAAGGCCUCGGAAACGUGGCUCCCUACGGGGAGUGUUAUAGUCCGGGGUGUAAUGCGGCCAGCCUGGACCGAGGACCGCGCUUCGGCAAGGAUGCUGGCGUAAUGGCUGUCAGCGACCCGUCUUGAAACACGG